rnacentral:rRNA from 1 species
UACAGGGGGCCCAAGCGUUAGUCGGAAUCACUGGGCUUAAAGGGUGCGUAGGCGGACUUGUAAGUGUCGUGUGAAAGCCCAUUGCUCAACGAUGGAACCGCACGGCAAACUGCAAGUCUCGAGGAAGGUAGAGGCGGGUAGAACGUUUGGUGGAGCGGUGGAAUGCGUAGAUAUCAAACGGAAUGCCAAAGGUGAAGACAGCCCGCUGGGCCUUUCCUGACGCUGAGGCACGAAAGCGUGGGGAGCAAACAGG